rnacentral:rRNA from 1 species
ACGAACGCUGGCGGCGUGCCUAACACAUGCAAGUCGAGCGGAGACAGUGAGUAGCUUGCUAUGAACUGUUUUAGCGGCGGACGGGUGAGUAACGCGUGAGCAACCUUUCCCAGACAGGGGAAUAACACACCGAAAGGUGUACUAAUACCGCAUAAGACCACGGGAUCACAUGGUUCUGGGGUAAAAGAUUUAUCGGUUUGGGGUGGGCUCGCGUCCGAUUAGGUAGUUGGUGAGGUAACGGCCCACCAAGCCGACGAUCGGUAGCCGACCUGAGAGGGUGAUCGGCCACAUUGGGACUGAGACACGGCCCAAACUCCUACGGGAGGCAGCAGUGGGGAAUAUUGGGCAAUGGGGGGAACCCUGACCCAGCAACGCCGCGUGGAGGAAGAAGGUUUUCGGAUCGUAAACUCCUGUCCUUGGAGACGAGUAGAAGACGGUAUCCAAGGAGGAAGCCCCGGCUAACUACGUGCCAGCAGCCGCGGUAAUACGUAGGGGGCAAGCGUUGUCCGGAAUAAUUGGGCGUAAAGGGCGCGUAGGCGGCUCGGUAAGUCUGGAGUGAAAGUCCUGCUUUUAAGGUGGGAAUUGCUUUGGAUACUGUCGAGCUUGAGUGCAGGAGAGGUUAGUGGAAUUCCCAGUGUAGCGGUGAAAUGCGUAGAGAUUGGGAGGAACACCAGUGGCGAAGGCGACUAACUGGACUGUAACUGACGCUGAGGCGCGAAAGUGUGGGGAGCAAACAGGAUUAGAUACCCUGGUAGUCCACACUGUAAACGAUGAAUGCUAGGUGUAGGGGGUAUCGACCCCUUCUGUGCCGCAGUCAACACAAUAAGCAUUCCGCCUGGGGAGUACGGCCGCAAGGUUGAAACUCAAAGGAAUAGACGGGGGCCCGCACAAGCAGUGGAGUAUGUGGUUUAAUUCGAAGCAACGCGAAGAACCUUACCAAGUCUUGACUUCCCCCUGACCGGAACUUAACCGUUCCUUUCCUUCGGGACAGGGGAGACAGGUGGUGCAUGGUUGUCGUCAGCUCGUGUCGUGAGAUGUUGGGUUAAGUCCCGCAACGAGCGCAACCCUUAUCUUCAGUUACUAACGCGUGAGGGUGAGGACUCUGAAGAGACUGCCGGGGACAACUCGGAGGAAGGUGGGGACGACGUCAAAUCAUCAUGCCCCUUAUGACCUGGGCUACACACGUGCUACAAUGGCCACGACAGAGAGAAGCGAAAUCGCAAGGUAGAGCGGAACUCAAAAAAGUGGUCCCAGUUCGGAUUGUGGGCUGCAACCCGCCCACAUGAAGUCGGAGUUGCUAGUAAUCGCGGAUCAGCAUGCCGCGGUGAAUACGUUCCCGGGCCUUGUACACACCGCCCGUCACACCAUGGGAGUUGGGAGUGCCCAAAGCCGGUGAGGCAACCGCAAGGAGCCAGCCGUCUAAGGCAAGACCAAUGACUGGGGUG